AUUUUUAAUCACAAAAUAUUAAACUUUUGAAUUACAAUUAAAUAAUUGAUUACAACUAACCAAAUAGUUGGCCACAUACAUCAAAAACUUCAUCCCACGCAUCCAAUAUUAACCGUAGGAUUAAUAUAUAUGUACUCACACUUUUAACAAAAUGGGUUACACACACUCACAAAAAAUGCGGACCCCACAUGAAUUCAAAAAUGUCGGCUGUGUGGUCCCCACCCCUAUUGUGAGUGUAAGUAAAACUUUUUGUACAAAAGUGUAAGUACAUGUAGCAUGAUCCUUAACCGUAAGCCAUGGAACAAAAACCCAUAGAGCCACAGAUGGACGACAGAGCCAACGAUUUACAAAGUAUGAGCUUCAACUCCACCACCACAACCAUCGUCAUAGGCAUCCACCGCUCUACCAAUUCUAGGUCGGCACAACCACUUGGACCUCUUCCUCCGCCUACCAUUUCUACCCUCCUCCACCAUCGUUAAACCUUACUCUACUACCACUCUUCCGGUGACCCAAGUUGGGACUCCGUCCGUCUCUUCCAUUGCCUAUCCCUCUUCGAUCUUAGCUUUCUCUACCGCUUCGGCUCCGGCAAUAUCAAAUCCCCCUACUUAGCCAAACUUAAGUCAUCGUCCUUGGAAGAGCAACCUAAACCUUCCCCGACAACUCUCUUCCCGGCUAAGGUUAUGGACAAGAAGGAAGUCGUGAGCCAUAAUAAAAAAAAAAAAAAAAAAAAGGUUAUAUCGGCUUCACCAAGCAGCGACGCAAGUCAUGUGAGGCAACAGAGAUUUCGAUCGAUGGGUAGAGAGAGAAGGAUAAAGGGAAAAUACGCGCGAGAGAAUAGUUAUAGAAAUGAAUUAGGGUUUGACAAUUUAAUUUAGUUUGGAUGUG
rnacentral:lncRNA from 1 species